rnacentral:misc_RNA from 1 species
CCAAUAGCGUAUAUUAAAGUUGUUGCAGUUAAAAAGCUCGUAGUUGAAUUUCGGGAUUGACGUGAUGGUCGUGCCUUAAGGGGUAUGAACUGUCGCAGUUGAUUUCUCACCUUCUGGAGAAGCAUGAUGUCCUUAAUUGGGUGUCAUGUGGAACCAGGACCUUUACCUUGAAAAAAUUAGAGUGUUUAAAGCAGGCAUUUUGCUCGAAUACAUUAGCAUGGAAUAAUAGAAUAGGACGGCAUGGUUGUAUUUUGUUGGUUUCUAGGAUCACCGUAAUGAUUAAUAGGGAUAGUUGGGGGCAUUAGUAUUCAAUUGUCAGAGGUGAAAUUCUUGGAUUUAUUGAAGACUAACUACUGCGAAAGCAUUUGCCAAGGAUGUUUUCAUUAAUCAAGAACGAAAGUUAGGGGAUCGAAGACGAUCAGAUACCGUCGUAGUCUUAACCAUAAACUAUGCCGACUAGGAAUCAGACGAUGUUAAUUUUUUAAUGACUCGUUUGGCACCUUACG